UCUGUUUAUUUUAUUAGAUUCUUGUUUCUUUUUUUUUGCCUGCAGUCACUGUGAGGCUCCGUCAGUCUCCUCAGAGCUGCUCUUUAAUAACACACUCCAUGACAACGAGCUCAGAGACAGGGCUGAUUGCAGACUUUAAAAAUGAACAAGCUAAAGGAUUCGAGUGCACUGGUGACAAAACACUGCUUCGCUGCUCUACACUUUUAUUUGGACCUAUUAGAGUCCUGAUCUGUAGAUAUCGCGAGAAAUCGUCACAACGGUGGACACAAGGAGAACGUCUCCAUAAACUCAACCAAACCAGGAGUCCUGAAGCUGUGAAGGAGACGACAACAUCUACAGUAUGCUGCUGUCUUCAAUAAAAUGUCGUUGAGAUGGUUUUUUUUUCCCUUUAAUUGGUCCAGUUUGACUGACUCUGUGCCUGUGUUAGCCUCAGGUUCCUGUUCUUGCCUGACAGGGGGUUAGAGACCUUUGUGGUUGUUUAACUCUGUCCACUUAAAGUUUUGAUGUUUUGUGCAUGCUGAGAUGCUUUUCUUCUCACCACAGGCUUAAAGAGUGAUUAUUUGAGUUACUGACCAAUCAAACAGAUCUCUCUAAUCAGUAAGUCGUUUCCACCCACAGAUACCAGCUUGGUUCGUGUAGUUAAGAGCCCGAAUAGCGCCCCGGUGUUCCUAUUAAAGCGGACAGCGAGUGUAUGUAGAACAUAUAUAAUUGAAAGCUAUGUUAGAAUAUCUCAGUGAAUCGAAUUACUCGGAAAAUACUGCGGAAGAAUUGUCUAUCACACGAAGAUCCUCUGUUUUGACCAAUCACGUACGUUUAUGCAAAUUAUUAUGCAAAUUGUUUCAAUUCGCUCUUUCUGCAAUGAUCAAUAAUGUCUCAAUUAAAAUAGUCCAAACAGAUAUUUAUAUAUAUUGUUAUAUAUUAUAUAUAUGUUUACGGAUGAAUACACUGAGAGAGUUAUGCUACGAAAGACAUACAGUAUGUGAAGGGUAUAUAUGUGAAAUAUGGUAUGUAUUUAGACCUUUUUGAGAUUUAUUCGAAUUCUCGUGCUAUCGAAGCGAUGA